GGGCGUAUAGCUCAGCUGGGAGAGCAUCUGCCUUACAAGCAGAGGGUCAUAGGUUCGAGCCCUGUUACGCCCA
rnacentral:tRNA from 1 species